UGAUUACAUCAGGGAGAAAGCCUGCUGCCCUCUUCCUGUUGUAGCGGGGUUAGCUGUGAGGGAUGCUCAAUAUUCGGAGCCUGUGAUAGGGUGAGACAAGGCUGGGCCUUUGGAAAUUGCAGGUAGUUGUGCUCCAGUGUGGGUAAAGGCAGUUCUUUCAAGUCAGAGUUUUGUUGCAAAUUAAAAUCACCCUUUGGUGCCUGAUUCCAGUAUCCACGGAGUGAAGCACAAAGAAACACAAGGGCAUUGGCGGGGCUAGAGAAUGAGAAGAAAUGGGAGUGCCUGGCUAAGAGCGAUGAUUCUGUCCCUAUGAAGUCUUAACCACAUAUUUCUCUGAGUAGAGGGCAGCAGUUUCCGGAGGUCAAAUACCAGCUCCUUUGCCAGAAUUAGACCACGCCUUUGAAAGCCAGGUCGAGUAGCAAGCAAGCCAGAGGCACACCUCGGUGUUAUCCACCCUUGUGUCUGUUGCCUUUAAAAGGCUUUUGUUAAACACCAGCGCUGCUUGAACAUCCAGGCGCAUCUACGUUUGGCACACUGACGUAUCUGAUUAUAAGAAAAUGGUACUGUGAAAUAUUUAUGAGUCUGGAAAUACAAACCAGUACCCCACCUCAUCACGGCUUAUCAGCCUUUGUUCGCUUCACAGAUGACAAGAGACACCGGGAAACUUUAGCCUCCCCCCACUUCUUGUUUGCCUUCUCUUGCCAGACCUACAGAUGAACAAUGAUAUUUCACAAGCAUGUGCAUUCAGGAGCUCAGUCCUGUGUGACCCUCUCGGCUCCCUCGCUUGUCUGUCUCUCCCAUGUCUGCCACCGCAGCAGGAGCUUAAGAGAACAGAGGAGAAGGAGCUCUCGUGAGAACCCGGGGAGUUUUGGCAGAACCUUUGUGGGAACCAUAUGGCAGCAACUUUGCAGUACAUGAAACAUUUUGAAGGGGGGAAGACACUACUGUUCCCAAAGAAUGUCCCUUGUCUGUCUCAAGCAUACUGAGUACCUCUGCCAAAAGACAGAAUGUGCCUUUCUGGGAAGUUAGUGUAAAUGUAGAUGAUACCUAGCCUUGGUUUAUCACAGGUCAGCGUGAUACCCAGAAAUAGAUUUGACUAACUUAAAAUAAUGAAAAUGGAAUAUGUAGUAUUUCUCAUACUUCCUAACAACCACCCCCCCCCGUAGCACAGUUAUAUUUGUCAUAAUGAAUCGUGGCAAAAUAGAUGGUUUACAACUUUUUUUUAUUUGUAACAGGCUCUUUUUGUCAAUGAGCAGUUUUGGCUGGAACAAAGGCAACAAUUUAGGGUCUCCUCAGUUUGCUUUCUCUUCUCUUACUUCACUCUCUGGUCUUUCCCAAGAUUCACCUUGUUAAUUUGAAACAAAUAAAACAAAGAGAGAUA